CAUCGGCGUUUUUUGCCGAGUCCGGAGUAUGGCCCGUCCCCCGCCUAGACCGGACACAGCGGCAGCCUAAUCCCCCUCUCCGGGCUGCCGCUCCAUUUUGAAGUACCGCCGCCGUGGUCUCCCCCUCCGCCACGGCGGCAUUUC
rnacentral:sRNA from 1 species